GUCCGCCUGCCCUGUGAUUUUAAAUUUAACGGCCGCGGUAUUUUGACCGUGCAAAGGUAGCGCAAUCACUUGUCUUUUAAAUAAAGACCCGUAUGAAUGGCAUAACGAGGGCUUAGCUGUCUCCCUUUUCCAGUCAAUGAAAUUGAUUUCCCCGUGCAGAAGCGGGGAUAAAAGCAUAAGACGAGAAGACCCUGUGGAGCUUUAAACGCCAAAGCAGGCCCUGUUAAAUAACCUCCCCUACAAAAGCUGAAACCAAUCGGACUCUGUUUUGCUGUUUUUGGUUGGGGCGACCGCGGGGUAAUGACUAACCCCCAUGUAGAAUGAGAGUACUUCCUCUUUAAAACAAAGACCCACAAUUCUAAAUUACAGAACUUCUGACUAACUAUGAUCCGGUAAAACCGAUCAACGAACCGAGUUACCCCAGGGAUAACAGCGCAAUCCUCUUUAAGAGCCCAUAUCGACAAGAGGGUUUACGACCUCGAUGUUGGAUCAGGACCUCCUAAUAGUGCAGCCGCUAUGAAGGGUUCGUUUGUUCAACGAUUAAAGUCCUACGUGAUCUG
rnacentral:rRNA from 1 species